AUUACUUCUUGGCCUUUUGGCUAAGAUCAAGUGUAGUAUCAAGUGUAAAAGUGACCUCCACUCUCCAUGUCCUACUCACCUGUGCACAUACUACCAUCUUUACCACAAAAUUUUUACAAAACAUCUUAAUUUCUAGGUUGUCCUUAACAAUUUAUAAAUGCUCCUUUAAGUGUAAAUUUGGUUAUCAUCCU